rnacentral:rRNA from 1 species
AUGGCGGUGGCGCCGCCCGACGGGCAGGAGAAGGUGAUCGCGGCAGCGCAGCAGAUCGUCAAGUCGCUCGCCAACUCCAAGAACCGGGCGCCCCAAUGCCACGGCCGGCUCCGAGCUCCUGGAGGGGGCAAGGAGGAGGGAGAGUACGGGCGGGAGUGGGGGACGCCCGGCCCCGGCUUCGGCGGCGAUGGUGACGACCUAGAGGACGAGAGGGAUGCGGUGGUGGAGGACGCGUUGCGUCUAGUGGAGCAGUGGGACUCCACCACGGCCGGGGACCGGCUGGUGUUCAAGUCGCCCGAGGACGCCGAGGAGUACCUUGCUGUGGCCGCCUGCCUCAUGGGCGAGGCCGGCCCGCGCGUCGAGGCCGUGCUGACCGCGUCGCUCACCGCCGAGGACCUGCACGCGUCCCUCCUUCGCCGCCUCUCGCUCACGGUGCCCACCUUCCACUCCGCCUCCUCUGUCAACCUUGACUGCCCGUCCUUCGCCGAAUCCAUUACAAGAGAGUAG